UACGAAGGGGGCUAGCGUUGCUCGGAAUUACUGGGCGUAAAGCGCACGUAGGCGGCUUGUUAAGUCAGGGGUGAAAUCCUGGAGCUCAACUCCAGAACUGCCUUUGAUACUGGCGAGCUUGAGUUCGGGAGAGGUGAGUGGAACUGCGAGUGUAGAGGUGAAAUUCGUAGAUAUCGAGAGGAACACCGGUGGCGAAGGCGGCCAACUGGACGAAUACUGACGCUGAGACACGAAAGCGUGGGGAGCAAACAGG
rnacentral:rRNA from 1 species